rnacentral:lncRNA from 1 species
UGGUAGUAGAGUAGAGGUAGAUGGUAGAUGAGGAAGAUGGUAGUAGAGUAGAGGUAGAUGGUAGUAGAGGAAGAUGGUAGUAGAGUAGAGGUAGAUGGUAGUAGAGUAGAGGUAGAUGGUAGUAGAGGUAGAUGGUAGUAGAGUAGAGGUAGAUGGUAGUAGAGGUAGAUGGUAGUAGAGUAGAGGUAGAUGGUAGUAGAGGUAGAUGGUAGUAGAGGUAGAUGGUAGUAGAGGUAGAUGGUAGUAGAGGUAGAUGGUAGUAGAGGGAAGAUGGUAGUAGAGUAGAGGUAGAUGGUAGUAGAGUAGAGGUAGAUGGUAGUAGAGGUAGAUGGUAGUAGAGGUAGAUGGUAGUAGAGUAGAGGUAGAUGGUAGUAGAGUAGAGGUAGAUGGUAGUAGAGGUAGAUGGUAGUAGAGGUAGAUGGUAGUAGAGUAGAGGUAGAUGGUAGUAGGGUAGAGGUAGAUGGUAGUAGAGUAGAGGUAGAUGGUAGUAGAGUAGAGGUAGAUGGUAGUAGAGUAGAGGUAGAUGGUAGUAGAGGUAGAUUAUAGUAGAGUAGAGGUAGAUGGUAGUAGAUGGUAGUAGAGUAGAGUUAGAUGGUAGUAGAGUAGAGGUAGAUGGUAGUAGAGGUAGAUGGUAGUAGAGUAGAGGUAGAUGGUAGUAGAUGGUAGUAGAGUAGAGUUAGAUGGUAGUAGAGUAGAGGUAGAUGGUAGUAGAGGUAGAUGGUAGUAGAUGGUAGUAGAGGUAGAUGGUAGUAGAGGUAGAUGGUAGUAGAGGUAGAUGGUAAUAGAGGUAGAUGGUAGUAGAGGUAGAUGGUAAUAGAGUUAGAUGGUAGUAGAGGUAGAUGGUAGUAGAGGUAGAUGGUAGUAGAGGUAGAUGGUAGUAGAGUAGAGGUAGAUGGUAGUAGAGUAGAGGUAGAUGGUAGUAGAGUAGAGGUAGAUGGUAGUAGAGUAGAGGUAGAAUAUUAUUCUCGCAUGUAAAUUAGGUCAAAUUUAAUGAAAAGCGUUUUUGAAAAGGCCAAUUAUAAUGUUCAUCAUGUGUGGAAAUCCUAAAAACGCCUCUGCUCAACUUUAGCCUAAUGCCUCAUCGCAAAUGUUAUUAUGUCUUUAUUAUAAAGGAUAUUUCUCUUCCACAGUAAAUUUACAACGCAUCAAAUUGCCUCACAGUACACUGAUUUAUUUACAGAAAAUGAUGGUGCCCGGGAAUUGUGUGUUUGCUGGGGGGGGGGGGCUAUAAUAAAACAGCCCCGGAUUUCUUCAUCUGGUCCUGACCUUCACCGGUAUCAUGUUUAGCUGAUCUGACAUCAUUCAGGUCAAUAAAGGUGACGUCAUUAAUAGAGCAUUUUGCAAAGUUGUCAUACAACAUCAGCACAAUGAACAAAAAGACUAGUUAACCCUAUCUUGGUGU